rnacentral:rRNA from 1 species
GGCAGCACGGGUGCUUGCACCUGGUGGCGAGUGGCGAACGGGUGAGUAAUACAUCGGAACAUGUCCUGUAGUGGGGGAUAGCCCGGCGAAAGCCGGAUUAAUACCGCAUACGAUCUACGGAUGAAAGCGGGGGACCUUCGGGCCUCGCGCUAUAGGGUUGGCCGAUGGCUGAUUAGCUAGUUGGUGGGGUAAAGGCCUACCAAGGCGACGAUCAGUAGCUGGUCUGAGAGGACGACCAGCCACACUGGGACUGAGACACGGCCCAGACUCCUACGGGAGGCAGCAGUGGGGAAUUUUGGACAAUGGGCGAAAGCCUGAUCCAGCAAUGCCGCGUGUGUGAAGAAGGCCUUCGGGUUGUAAAGCACUUUUGUCCGGAAAGAAAUCCUUGGUUCUAAUAUAGCCGGGGGAUGACGGUACCGGAAGAAUAAGCACCGGCUAACUACGUGCCAGCAGCCGCGGUAAUACGUAGGGUGCGAGCGUUAAUCGGAAUUACUGGGCGUAAAGCGUGCGCAGGCGGUUUGCUAAGACCGAUGUGAAAUCCCCGGGCUCAACCUGGGAACUGCAUUGGUGACUGGCAGGCUAGAGUAUGGCAGAGGGGGGUAGAAUUCCACGUGUAGCAGUGAAAUGCGUAGAGAUGUGGAGGAAUACCGAUGGCGAAGGCAGCCCCCUGGGCCAAUACUGACGCUCAUGCACGAA